rnacentral:ribozyme from 2 species
UCCUUAACUCCGCCUGGAGCCUCUCUGGGGUUACUGCCGAUCCCAAGCCCGGAUAAAGGAGGAGGGUUGGG